AGUAAAACUGGAGACCAUCAUGUGUGCUCAUUCCUUUGGCUGAGAAUGGUAUUAGGAGGCCAAGACCUUUGUGCUAUGGGGUGUCACUCCUAGGACCACUAGAUCUUCCCAGCCAAAAAGCUAGGCAAAGUGGUGAUCUUUAGUCGCAGUGAGAGCCACUGUCUGAAGAACUGAGGUGAACAACACUACAGGAAGAAGCCCACCACACUCCUCUGGCCUCUACCUAUUCGAGCACUCACUCAUCCAUCGGCAUAUCCAUACGCACAUAGACCACACACCUCCAUACUCAACAUUUAAAAAAAUCACGAAUUGAACCAUCAGACAUGGAAUAGUCCCCGUAUGCGUGUUUGCAUAAAUGUACCAUUUUACUGACCGGUUUUCUCCGUGGGGGAUGUUUGAGUAGUUUUCAUGUUUUGGAAGUUGGUGAAUAGCACAGCUUUGAAUAUGUUGAGCCAUGUGCACUGAUACACGUGUGUGAUUACACCUGUGAAUCACUGGAUUUCAGAGGAUAACAUGCAGUCAAUAUUAAAAAACACUAUUAAUUAUUUUCUAUGAUAAUGCAAUGUUGUGCCACUGAAAAAUGUUAUGGAACUAACAAAACAAAACAAACAAAAACAACCAAACAAAAAACCAACUCUACAAAAAUUCAGGGAUUUUUAUUUCAGUUGAAUCAGUGAAAAACUGCCCAUCAUCCUUGUCAUACUUUGUAUUUUCCUCAUCAUAAAUCCUGUUUAUCUUCCCAGUGAUUUACUGGCACUCAUCCUUCUGUGAAAUGCCUUUCUGUAUC